ACAGCUAUAAUUUACUUGAUCUUGACACAAUCCUACUUGGAUAACUGUGGUAAUUCUAGAGCUAAUACAUGCAUUAAAGCUCUGACCUCACGGGAAGAGUGCAUUUAUUAGAACAAAACCAAGCGGCUUCGGCUGUUUCUGGUUGACUCAUAGUAACUGAGCUGAUCGCAUGGUCUUGCACCGGCGACGUGUCUUUCAAGUAUCUGCCGUAUCAACUUUCGAUGGUAGUGUAUCUGACUACCAUGGUGAUCACGCGUAACGGAGAAUAAGGGUUCGGCUCCGGAGAGUUCGCCUGAGAAAUCGCGAACACAUCUAAGGAAGGCAGCAGGCGCGAAAAUUACCCACUCUCAGCACGAGGAGGUAGUGACGAAAAAUAACGAGACCGUUCUCUUAUGAGGCCGGUCAUCGGAAUGGGUACAAUUUAAACCCUUUAACGAGUAUCUAUGAGAGGGCAAGUCUGGUGCCAGCAGCCGCGGUAAUUCCAGCUCUCAAAGUGCAUAGAAUUAUUGCUGCGGUUAAAAAGCUCGUAGUUGGAUCUGUGCCAUAGGACGUGGUCCACCUUCGGGUGCGUACUACGCUCCUAGGCUUUUUGCUGGUUUUCCCGUCGUAGCCUUCACUGGUUGCGGCGGGUGGCUGGCGAGUUUACUUUGAGAAAAUCAGAGUGCUCAAUACAGGCGUAUCGCUUGAAUGAUUGUGCAUGGAAUAAUAGAAAAGGAUUUCGGUCCUCUUUUAUUGGUUUUGUGGACUGAGAUAAUGGUUAACAGGGACAAACGGGGGCAUUCGUAUCUCUGCGUGAGAGGUGAAAUUCUUGGACCGUAGAGAGACGCCCUACUGCGAAAGCAUUUGCCAAGAAUG
rnacentral:rRNA from 1 species